ensembl:lncRNA
ACAAGAGGGAAAAGGCAAAAAAAGGCCAUUUUAAUGCCUCCCCACCCCAUGGGCUGGACUGGGCUGGACUGGGCUGGACUGGACUGGACUGGACUGGACUGGACUGGACUGGGCUGGACUGGACUGGACUGGACCGGGCUGGACUGGGCUGGACUGGACUAGACUGGGCUGGACUGGGCUGAACUGGGCCGGGCUGAGAACGCGCCCAACUCAUCGCACAUCCCGCUCCGCUCUCCGUGCGCGGCCCCUUUAAAUCCUCCGGGACGGCACAGCCCACCGCGGGCCCGAGGGGGGGGGGGGGGGGGGGGGGGGGGGGGGGGGGGGGGGGGGGGGGGGGGGGGGGGGGGGGGGGGGGGGGGGGGGGGGGGGGGGGGGGGGGGAUGUCCCCUCCGCGCCCCUGCAGCGCGCAGCCGGUGCGACCGCGCCCCCCCUCCACCCCUCCGCGAGCAGUGGUACAGCCCACAUGGGUGUCUGUGGGGAGGGAGCGCGGCCAGCGCGGUGUUGGGGCGCUCGGAGCCGCCUCAGGGCGGCGAUCCCUGCUCCGGGACGAUCCCGGGAAAACCGGAGACUCCCGGUGCGCGGGAGAUCCGCGGUGCGCGGGAGAUCCCCGGUGUGCAGAGAUCCCCGGGGCGCGGAGAUCCCCGGGGCGCGGAGCGGAAGAUGGCGCGCGGGCGGCGUUGAGGGUUUUCCCGGAACGGCGGGGGAGGCGCUGCCGGGACCUCGUGGCGCAACGUCUAGAUCUGUAGCAACCUUUGGAACAAAAGAGUUCAGAGUGCAGCAGCUGGAGCCCGGAAUUCAGGAAAAUCCGAAUAUUUGAUGUCUCUGCUGCCAAAUGAGGGAAUUACAAGUUGAUAUAAUCUGAUUUUCUUGGAAUUCACUGCUGACAAACGCAGCAAUUAACUCCAAUCAGUUAAUUACAGCCUCACUCUGCCACCUCCAGCUUUGGUUUGGGGUUGAACUCUGGUUUUCUGGUUGUUUUUUUUUUUGUCGGUGCUGCUCCUGUGGAAAAAGCUGGAAAUUGGGGGUUAUCUCGUUUUUUUAUUAUUUUUAUUAUUUCUAUUUUUUCAUUAUUUUCAUUAUUUACUUUUCUUUUGGCUCCCCUCAGCCCAUCCCGUUCACCUCUCUCGGGUUUAUCCCACCCCUGGGGAUGCUCUGGAUUUCUGCAGGAUCCACAUCCCGCUCUCGCCCUCCUCCUCCAGCCUGGCACCAAAAACAUCCCAAAUUUUAGAGAACUGGGACACCCCUGCUGGGGCAAUUUGGGAAUCUGCCUCCCCCACAUCCCUAAUUUUAGCCCCUGAAAUUCCAGAGCUGUCAGCCAAGAGCGGAGCCUGGCACAGGCAGGGACAGCAGUGCCAGGGGAGUGGGAGCUGAAAAACAAACGGCCCAAAAAUGGGGCUGGAGAGGGGGAAAUUGGGAAAAACGAGGAUUGGUGGGGUUGGGAAAGUCCUGAGGGAAAUGGGGAGGGUUUGGAGAAUCCUGAGGGAAAUGGGGAAGGGUUUGGAGAAUCCUGAGGGAAAUGGGGAAGGGUUUGGAGAAUCCUGAGGGAAAUGGGGAAGGGUUUGGAGAAUCCUGAGGGAAAUGGGGAAGGGUUUGGAGAAUCCUGAGGGAAAUGGGGAAGGGUUUGGAGAAUCCUGAGGGAAAUGGGGAAGGGUUUGGAGAAUCCUGAGGGAAAUGGGGAAGGGUUUGGAGAAUCCUGAGGGAAAUGGGGAAGGGUUUGGAGAAUCCUGAGGGAAAUGGGGAAGGGUUUGGAGAAUCCUGAGGGAAAUGGGGAAGGGUUUGGAGAAUCCUGAGGGAAAUGGGGAAGGGUUUGGAGAAUCCUGAGGGAAAUGGGGAAGGGUUUGGAGAAUCCUGAGGGAAAUGGGGAAGGGUUUGGAGAAUCCUGAGGGAAAUGGGGAAGGGUUUGGAGAAUCCUGAGGGAAAUGGGGAAGGGUUUGGAGAAUCCUGAGGGAAAUGGGGAAGGGUUUGGAGAAUCCUGAGGGAAAUGGGGAAGGGUUUGGAGAAUCCUGAGGGAAAUGGGGAAGGGUUUGGAGAAUCCUGAGGGAAAUGGGGAAGGGUUUGGAGAAUCCUGAGGGAAAUGGGGAAGGGUUUGGAGAAUCCUGAGGGAAAUGGGGAAGGGUUUGGAGAAUCCUGAGGGAAAUGGGGAAGGGUUUGGAGAAUCCUGAGGGAAAUGGGGAAGGGUUUGGAGAAUCCUGAGGGAAAUGGGGAAGGGUUUGGAGAAUCCUGAGGGAAAUGGGGAAGGGUUUGGAGAAUCCUGAGGGAAAUGGGGAAGGGUUUGGAGAAUCCUGAGGGAAAUGGGGAAGGGUUUGGAGAAUCCUGAGGGAAAUGGGGAAGGAUUUUGGGGAUCUCAAAAAUCCCAAAAUCCCCGGGAAUUUUUACUUCGUGUUCCACCUGUGCUCCAGCCAUGACCCAACACCACUGAACUGUCCCCAAAUUCCACAUCCUUAAGUGGCUGAACACUUGCAGGGAUUUCCACUCCAACAUUUCCCUGAGCAGCAGUGAAGUUCAAUUCCAAUAUUCCAAUAUUUGAAACCAUUCCUGUCAAUGGUUUAAGAUUUUCAAACCAUUUCCUUCCCUGAUACCUCAUCCUAACCUUGCCUUGGUUCACAUUCCUGCAUUCGUCCAUGAACUCAACUUUGGGGAUCUGCAAAAGAGGAAAAUUCUGAGGGAUGCAGGAAUUUCUUCAUGGUAACCUUCAGAACAAAUCCAGACAACCAAAAUUGUAGAUUUUCAAGCUGGGUUUGGUUUUGGUUUUUUUUUUAAACUUUUUAAAGCACCAAAAGCUUCAAUAUUGAACCCCCAAAAGAAGGAAAACCAAAUUUCUGUGCAGCUUAAAUGACAAAUUUUGAGGUGGAUCAGGAGUUCAUUCACCCAGCUCUGUUAAAUAUUAGAAAAUCCUAUAAAAUCUGAUUUUACACUGAUUUUUUUUUUUUUUUUUUUACCCGGGGGGGUUUUUUUUUUUUUUUUUACCCACAGCUGCUCCUGGCUCUUAUCCGUGCCUGGGCCAUCAAUGAUUAACUGAGGAGCAAAGUCCCUCUUCCCUUUCUGCUUUUCCUGCAGCUCAUUCCCAGAGCCAGACUCGGGGAUAAAUCCAGGGAAUUUCGUGCCCUGCUCUGGGAUUUAUCCAUUGUUGAGCUCAGGAAGGGGAUGCAGGUGCUGAUCCCAAAAAUCUCUUCUUUAUUCAUCAUCCUGGGAAUGUGGCUCUCAGCUUUUCCUCAGUUGGACACCAACACUAAUUUAUGUUUGAUUUACAUAAUAAUUGUAAUUUUUUAAAAUUGACAUUUUCUAUUUCUAUUUCAUUUCUAUUUCUAUUUCUAUUUCUAUUUCUAUUUCUAUUUCUAUUUCUAUUUCUAUUUCUAUUUCUAUUUCUAUUUCUAUUUCUAUUUCUAUUUCUAUUUCUAUUUCUAUUUCUAUUUCUAUUUCUAUUUCUAUUUCUAUUUCUAUUUCUAUUUCUAUUUCUAUUUCU